AUUGAACGCUGGCGGAAUGCUUUACACAUGCAAGUCGAACGGCAGCACGGGGCAACCUGGUGGCGAGUGGCGAACGGGUGAGUAAUACAUCGGAACGUGCCCAAUCGUGGGGGAUAACGUAGCGAAAGUUACGCUAAUACCGCAUACGAUCUACGGAUGAAAGCGGGGGAUCGCAAGACCUCGCGCGAAUGGAGCGGCCGAUGUCAGAUUAGGUAGUUGGUGGGGUAAAGGCUCACCAAGCCAAUGAUCUGUAGCUGGUCUGAGAGGACGACCAGCCACACUGGAACUGAGACACGGUCCAGACUCCUACGGGAGGCAGCAGUGGGGAAUUUUGGACAAUGGGCGCAAGCCUGAUCCAGCCAUUCCGCGUGCAGGAUGAAGGCCUUCGGGUUGUAAACUGCUUUUGUACGGAACGAAACGGUCUGCCCUAAUACGGCGGGCUAAUGACGGUACCGUAAGAAUAAGCACCGGCUAACUACGUGCCAGCCAGCCGCGGUAAGGACCG
rnacentral:rRNA from 1 species